rnacentral:lncRNA from 1 species
CAACAGAGUGAGACUCUGUCUCAAAAAAAAAAAAAGACAGGGUUUCACCAUGUUGGCCAGGCUGGUCUCGAACUCCUGGGCUCAAGUGAUCCUUCCACCUCGGCCCCCCAGUGCUGGGAUUACAGCGUGAGCCACUGGGCCUGGCCUGGUUGUAUCUUUUGGGAGGCUGCCCUUCAGCCACCACAGCCCUCAUUUCAGGUUCUUGUGGGACCCUCGACAAAGAGAUGCUUUCCACCUCCUAACCGGGUAUGUGGCUCAGGGAGGCUGUGUGGGGGCUGGGCUGGCCCGCAAGGGGCGGGCGGGGUGGAGGUGGGGCCUGUGAGUCCGGUGGACGGGAUGCAGCCCAGGUUGGCUGAGGGCCGGCAGGUGGUGCUGCGGAGCCCACGGGGGCCGGCAGGUGCCACAACCCCGUAAAGGGGGAAUAAACCCCCCUCAGGUCAGGAGUUCCUGGGGAGGAGAGCUGAGUUUUCCAAAAUUAACUAAUUUUUCCUGAACGUCUGAUUUCAAAACGUUUACUGAGCUUUCCUGUGUUCCAUCAAGGCCUCUGCUUCCAGGAACUGGGAAAGGAGAGGUGGGGUCACUGCGGGUCUGUCUGGCUGGGUGGCAGGAGGGGAGAGGUGGGGUCACUGCGGGUCUGCAGGGCUGCAGGAGGGGAGAGGUGGGUUCACUGCGGGUCUGCCUGGCUGGGCAGCAGGAGAGGAGGUGGGUUCACUGCGGGUCUGCCUGGCUGGGCAGCAGGAGAGGAGGUGGGUUCACUGCAGGUCUGUCUGGCUGGGCAGCAGGAGGGGAGAGGUGGGGUCACUGCGGGUCUGCAGGGCUGCAGGAGGGGAGAGGUGGGGUCACUGCAGGUCUGUCUGGCUGGGCAGCAGGAGAGGAGGUGGGUUCACUGCAGGUCUGUCUGGGCGGGCUGCAGGAGAGGAGGUGGGGUCACUGCGGGUCUGUCUGGGCGGGCUGCAGGAGAGGAGGUGGGUUCACUGCAGGUCUGUCUGGCUGGGCAGCAGGAGAGGAGGUGGGUUCACUGCAGGUCUGUCUGGCUGGGCAGCAGGAGGGGAGAGGUGGGGUCACUGCGGGUCUGUCUGGCUGGGCAGCAGGAGGGGAGGUGGGUUCACUGCGGGUCUGCCUGGCUGGGCAGCAGGAGAGGAGGUGGGUUCAUUGCGGGUCUGUCUGGCCGGGCUGCAGGACGUGCACUCAGACUCAGCCCGUGUGGUUUCCAAGGCCCGAAGGACACACCAGGCCAGAUGCCCCCAUCACACACAGGGCUAGGGAGCAGCAACUGGGGUCCACGGUGGUUCCGCCCCACCCCACCCCGCAGGGCCACCCUCCGAGAGCAGUGCUAUUGUUGGUUCUCGCCAUAGAACCUGGGUUUAGGUUUGGGGGCCCAGGGGCUGCCUGGUGGGGGGGUGGGGUGAUAUGGUUUGGUUCUGUGUCCUCACACAAAUCUCAUCUCGAACUGUAAUCCCUGUGUCGAGGGAGGGAGGUGAUUGGAUCAUGGAGGAGGGUUUCCACAUGCUGUUCUCGUGAUGGUGAGUUCUCACGGGGGCUGCUGGUUUAUAAGUGGCAGCUCCCCCUCCACUCUCUCGCCUCCUGCCACGUGAGACGUGCCUGCGUCCUUCACCUUCCGCCAUGAUCGUAAGUUUCCUGAGGCCUCCCCAGCCCUGUGGAACUGGGAGUUAAUUAAACCUCUUUCUUUUAUUUUUAUAUUUUUUAUUUUUGAGGCAGAGUCUCACUCUUGUUGCCCAGGCUGGAGUGCAGUGGCGCAAUCUCAGCUCACUGCAACCUCUGCCUCCUGAGUUCAAGCGAUUCUCCUGCCUCAACCUCCGAGUAGCUGGGACUACAGGUGCCCACCACCACACCCGGCUAAUUUUUGUAUGUUUAGUUGAGACAAGGUUUCACCAUGUUGGCCAGGCUAGUCUUGAACUUCUGACAUCAGGUGAUCCGCCCGCCUCGGCCUCCCAAAGUGCUGGGAUUACAGGUGUGAGCCACUGCGUCCGGCCAGACCUCUUUGUUUAUAAAUUACCCAGUCUCAGGCAGUGUCUUUAUAGCAGUGUGGGAAUGAACUCACAUAAGUGGGGAAGGUGAAUCCUCCAACUCCCCCACCUGUGUGGCCACUGAUGUGCAGGACACCAGGAUGAGCUUCCCAGAGGGCCAGAGCCAGGCAACAGAGUGCAGGGUAGGCCAGCAUGGCCUUGGGGCGGCGUGGUACCCAACAGGAAUGUGGAGAUGAGGCCCGAGGUGGCGGCUCACACUGGUAAUGGCAACACUUCGGGAGACUAAGGUGGGAGGAUCGCUUGAGCCCAGGAGUUUGAGAGCAGCCUGGGCAACAUAUUGAGACCUCGUUCCUACAAAAUAAUGAGUCGGUGCAGUGAUGCAUGCCUGUGGUCCUAGCUACUCAGGAGGCUGAGGUAGGAGAAUUGCCUGGACCCGGGAGGUCGAGGCUGUAGUGAGCCGUUAUUGCACCACUGCACUCCGGCCUGGGCAACAGAGCAAGACCCCAUCUCAAAUAACAGUACAAAAUAAGUAUGGAGAUGCUGGCUCCUGUGGGAAGCUGGGUGGACGUGGGGGGCACACCCUCCAGUCUGCAGAAACUUCCCGCCGCUCGGGCUGAUGUGCUCGAGGGCUCCCGAGGCCCUGCCUCCCGGGUGGCAGAGGGAACAUGGGAAAGGCUGCCGGGCCCCGGGCUCGCCGGUGGGUGGCCCCGUGCAGCCUGUUAUUCAUAAAACUUGGAGAGAAAGUGCCUUUUUGUAGGAAAGUGUGGGGUGCUGGCGGCCAUUUCCACCUGUGGUUGGACCCAGACUGCCUCCCCGCGUGUGGCCCAUGCCCCACCCCACACGCACCCCCGCCCUCUGUCAAGCAGGACUCGGGCUCUCCGUUGGCCGAGCAGACGUUUUAUUUGUGGAACGGAAUUGCUGUCGGGAUGGGCGUGGGGUCGUUAGCAGCAUAAUCAACACCCACAUCCACCCUGGGGGCAGCCACGUCUUGUCAACAGGUGGAGGCCGUGACAUGCUGCAAUUAGCAGCUAAUGAGGAGGCCUGUGUGACCCACGCCUCCGUCACAGGUGCGCAGUGAGCUGUGGAAACGCCGACAAUUUAAAAUAGUCGAACAGGGCCGGGCGUGGUGUCUCAGGCCUGUAGUCCCAGCACUUUGGGAGGCCAAGGUGGGAGGAUCACCUGAGGUCAAGUGUUCGAGACCAGCCUGGCAACAUGGCGAAACCCUGUCUUGACUAAAAUACAAAAAAAUUAGCCGGGCGUGAUGGUGCACGCCUGUAAUCCCAGCUACUCGGGAGGCCGAGGCAGGAGAAUCGCUUGAACCCGGGAGGCGGAGGUUGCAGUGAGCCGAGAUUGCGCCACUGCACUCCAGCCUAGGCAACAGAGCGGGACUCCAUCUCAAAACAUAAAAAUAAAGUAGUGGAAAAAAACUAUAGGAAAAAGAAAAGAAAAAGCUAAAAAGAAAAUUUAACAUGUGAAAAAGCGUACUGGCCGGGUACAGUGGCUCAGGCCUGUAAUCCCAACACUUUCAGAGGCCCAGGCGGGCGGGAUCUCUUGAGCCCAGGAGUUUGAGACCAGCCUGGGCAACAUGGUGAGAUUCCAUCUCUAUUUUAAAAAAAAAAAAAAAAAUCAUGUUACAGGAAUUCUAGGAAUGGACUGUGGGCAGUUGCAUGGAGAUGGCCUGUAAGAGCUGGCCAACUUUCACAACCUUCAGCUUUAUUUUGAAAUCUUGCAUUGAGAUGAAUAACCGCUUUUCUUUCUUUUAGGACAUAGCUAACCCCAGAGAAUAUGUUCACAUUCAUUUUCCAUGUGGCACUGCUUCGGUUGAAAUUUUUUUUUUUUCUUGAGAUGGAGUCUUGCUCUGUCGCCCAGGCU